GGCGAGGGGAGUGAAAAAGAACCUGAAACCGUGUACGUACAAGCAGUGGGAGCACCCUGUGUGACUGCGUACCUUUUGUAUAAUGGGUCAGCGACUUAUAUUCUGUAGCAAGGUUAACCGAAUAGGGGAGCCGGAGGGAAACCGAGUCUUAACCGGGCGUUAAGUUGCAGGGUAUAGACCCGAAACCCGGUGAUCUAGCCAUGGGCAGGUUGAAGGUUGGGUAACACUAACUGGAGGACCGAACCGACUAAUGUUGAAAAA
rnacentral:rRNA from 2 species